UGACCGGCCACACUGGGACUGAGACACGGCCCAGACUCCUACGGGAGGCAGCAGUGGGGAAUAUUGCACAAUGGGCGAAAGCCUGAUGCAGCAACGCCGCGUGAGGGAUGACGGCCUUCGGGUUGUAAACCUCUUUUAGUAGGGAAGAAGCGAAAGUGACGGUACCUGCAGAAAAAGCACCGGCUAACUACGUGCCAGCAGCCGCGGUAAUACGUAGGGUGCAAGCGUUGUCCGGAAUUAUUGGGCGUAAAGAGCUCGUAGGCGGUUUGUCGCGUCUGCUGUGAAAUCCCGAGGCUCAACCUCGGGCUUGCAGUGGGUACGGGCAGACUAGAGUGCGGUAGGGGAGAUUGGAAUUCCUGGUGUAGCGGUGGAAUGCGCAGAUAUCAGGAGGAACACCGAUGGCGAAGGCAGAUCUCUGGGCCGUAACUGACGCUGAGGAGCGAAAGCAUGGGGAGCGAACAGGAUUAGAUACCCUGGUAGUCCAUGCCGUAAACGUUGGGCGCUAGAUGUAGGGACCUUUCCACGGUUUCUGUGUCGUAGCUAACGCAUUAAGCGCCCCGCCUGGGGAGUACGGCCGCAAGGCUAAAACUCAAAGGAAUUGACGGGGGCCCGCACAAGCGGCGGAGCAUGCGGAUUAAUUCGAUGCAACGCGAAGAACCUUACCAAGGCUUGACAUACACCGGAAACGGCCAGAGAUGGUCGCCCCCUUGUGGUCGGUGUACAGGUGGUGCAUGGUUGUCGUCAGCUCGUGUCGUGAGAUGUUGGGUUAAGUCCCGCAACGAGCGCAACCCUCGUUCUAUGUUGCCAGCGGGUUAUGCCGGGGACUCA
rnacentral:rRNA from 1 species